UAGGGAAUCUUCCACAAUGGACGAAAGUCUGAUGGAGCAACGCCGCGUGAGUGAAGAAGGUUUUCGGAUCGUAAAGCUCUGUUGUUGGUGAAGAAGGAUAGAGGCAGUAACUGGUCUUUAUUUGACGGUAAUCAACCAGAAAGUCACGGCUAACUACGUGCCAGCAGCCGCGGUAAUACGUAGGUGGCAAGCGUUGUCCGGAUUUAUUGGGCGUAAAGCGAGCGCAGGCGGAAUGAUAAGUCUGAUGUGAAAGCCCACGGCUCAACCGUGGAACUGCAUCGGAAACUGUCAUUCUUGAGUGCAGAAGAGGAGAGUGGAACUCCAUGUGUAGCGGUGGAAUGCGUAGAUAUAUGGAAGAACACCAGUGGCGAAGGCGGCUCUCUGGUCUGCAACUGACGCUGAGGCUCGAAAGCAUGGGUAGCGAACAGGAUUAGAUACCCUGGUAGUCCAUGCCGUAAACGAUGAGCGCUAGGUGUUGGGGACUUUCCGGUCCUCAGUGCCGCAGCAAACGCAUUAAGCGCUCCGCCUGGGGAGUACGACCGCAAGGUUGAAACG
rnacentral:rRNA from 1 species